GGGUCAGUAGGUUGGUCUUGCCACCGGUACGUACUGGUCUCACUGAUUCCUCCUUCCUGAAGAACCGUAAUGCCAUUAAUUUGGUGUUGCGGGGAAACAGGACUGUUACUUUGAAGAAAUUAGAGUGUUUAAAGCAAGCUAACGCUUGAAUACAUUAGCAUGGAAUAAUGAAAUAGGACGAUCGAUCCUAUUUUGUUGGUUUCUAGGAUUGACGUA
rnacentral:rRNA from 1 species